rnacentral:rRNA from 1 species
GAUGAACGCUAGCUACAGGCUUAACACAUGCAAGUCGAGGGGCAGCAUGAACUUAGCUUGCUAAGUUUGAUGGCGACCGGCGCACGGGUGAGUAACACGUAUCCAACCUUCCGUUUACUCAGGGAUAGCCUUUCGAAAGAAAGAUUAAUACCUGAUAGUAUGGUGAGAUUGCAUGAUAACACCAUUAAAGAUUUAUUGGUAAACGAUGGGGAUGCGUUCCAUUAGGUAGUAGGCGGGGUAACGGCCCACCUAGCCUGCGAUGGAUAGGGGUUCUGAGAGGAAGGUCCCCCACAUUGGAACUGAGACACGGUCCAAACUCCUACGGGAGGCAGCAGUGAGGAAUAUUGGUCAAUGGGCGAGAGCCUGAACCAGCCAAGUAGCGUGAAGGAUGACUGCCCUAUGGGUUGUAAACUUCUUUUAUAAAGGAAUAAAGUCGGGUAUGGAUACCCGUUUGCAUGUACUUUAUGAAUAAGGAUCGGCUAACUCCGUGCCAGCGGCCGCGGU